CAGCCGCCGCGGUAAAACGGAGGGUGCAAGCGUUAAUCGGAAUUACUGGGCGUAAAGCGUGCGUAGGCGGUUCGUUAAGUCUGUUGUGAAAGCCCCGGGCUCAACCUGGGAAUGGCAAUGGAUACUGGCGAGCUAGAGUGUGUCAGAGGAUGGCGGAAUUCCCGGUGUAGCGGUGAAAUGCGUAGAGAUCGGGAGGAACAUCAGUGGCGAAGGCGGCCAUCUGGGACAACACUGACGCUGAGGCACGAAAGCGUGGGGAGCAAACAGGAUUAGAUACCCGUGUAGUCCCUGUCUCUUAUAC
rnacentral:rRNA from 1 species